UGCGUAGGUGGCGCUGUAAGUCGGGUGUGAAAUUUCGGAGCUUAACUCCGAAACUGCAUUCGAUACUGCGGUGCUUGAGGACUGGAGAGGAGACUGGAAUUCAUGGUGUAGCAGUGAAAUGCGUAGAGAUCAUGAGGAAGACCAGUGGCGAAGGCGGGUCUCUGGACAGUUCCUGACACUGAGGCACGAAGGCCAGGGGAGCAAACG
rnacentral:rRNA from 1 species